rnacentral:rRNA from 1 species
AUGGAGGUGGUGAAUGCGUUGAGCCAAGGCUACUCUUCUUCAGUCGCUUCAUCCAUUAUAGAUGACUGUUAUUUCAUGUCAUUAGGUUUUUUCCAUGUCACUUAUGAUCAUUGUAAUAGGGAUCGUAAUCGAGUAGCUCAUGAACUAGCAAGGUUAGCUAGGUUUUCUUCUCCGAGUGUUUGGAUGGAUAACGCCCUGAUGAGGUUAUCCCUUUACUUGUAA